rnacentral:rRNA from 1 species
UACAGGGGGUGCAAACGUUGCUCGGAAUCAUUGGGCGUAAAGCGCACGUAGGCGGUUCGUUAUGUCGGAUGUGAAAGCCCUUGGCUUAACCCGAGGAAGUGCAUCCGAAACUGGCGAGCUAGAGUACGAAAGAGGAUCGCGGAAUUCCCGGUGUAGAGGUGAAAUUCGUAGAUAUCGGGAGGAACACCAGUGGCGAAGGCGGCGACCUGGGCAGAUACUGACACUGAGGUGCGAAAGCGUGGGGAGCAAACAGG